rnacentral:rRNA from 1 species
AUCAUGGCUCAGGAUGAACGCUAGCUACAGGCUUAACACAUGCAAGUCGAGGGGCAUCAUGGAGUUUGCUUGCAAACUCUGAUGGCGACCGGCGCACGGGUGAGUAACGCGUAUCCAACCUUCCCUAUAGUAGAGGAUAGCCCGGCGAAAGUCGGAUUAAUACUCUAUGUUUUCCGUUGCAGACAUCUAAGAUGGAACAAAGGCUUGCCGCUAUAGGAUGGGGAUGCGUCUGAUUAGGUAGUCGGCGGGGUAACGGCCCACCGAGCCAUCGAUCAGUAGGGGUUCUGAGAGGAAGGUCCCCCACAUUGGAACUGAGACACGGUCCAAACUCCUACGGGAGGCAGCAGUGAGGAAUAUUGGUCAAUGGGCGAGAGCCUGAACCAGCCAAGUAGCGUGCAGGACGACGGCCCUAUGGGUUGUAAACUGCUUUUAUGCGGGGAUAAAGUUCACUACGUGUAGUGUUUUGUAGGUACCGCAUGAAUAAGGACCGGCUAAUCCGUGCCAGCAGCUGC